CGUUGAAACAUCAGUUCCUGUACGAACAUCGAAGUUAAGCAACGUUGAGCCUGGUCAAUACCUAGAUGGGUAACCGCUUGGGAAUACGUAGUACUGUAAG